rnacentral:rRNA from 1 species
CGCUAUCACUCCUACGGGGAGCGAGCAGUAGGGAAUCUUCCACAAUGGGCGCAAGCCUGAUGGAGCAACACCGCGUGAGUGAAGAAGGGUUUCGGCGUCGUAAAGCUCUGUUGUUAAAGAAGAACACGUAUGAGAGUAACUGUUCAUACGUUGACGGUAUUUAACCAGAAAGUCACGGCUAACUACGUGCCAGCAGCCGCGGUAAUACGUAGGUGGCAAGCGUUAUCCGGAUUUAUUGGGCGUAAAGAGAGUGCAGGCGGUUUUCUAAGUCUGAUGUGAAAGCCUUCGGCUUAACCGGAGAAGUGCAUCGGAAACUGGAUAACUUGAGUGCAGAAGAGGGUAGUGGAACUCCAUGUGUAGCGGUGGAAUGCGUAGAUAUAUGGAAGAACACCAGUGGCGAAGGCGGCUACCUGGUCUGCAACUGACGCUGAGACUCGAAAGCAUGGGUAGCGAACAGGAUUAGAUACCCUGGUAG